GACGAACGCUGGCGGCGUGCUUAACACAUGCAAGUCGAACGGAAAGGCCCUGCUUUUGUGGGGUGCUCGAGUGGCGAACGGGUGAGUAACACGUGAGUAACCUGCCCUUGACUUUGGGAUAACUUCAGGAAACUGGGGCUAAUACCGGAUAGGAGCUCCUGCUGCAUGGUGGGGGUUGGAAAGUUUCGGCGGUUGGGGAUGGACUCGCGGCUUAUCAGCUUGUUGGUGGGGUAGUGGCUUACCAAGGCUUUGACGGGUAGCCGGCCUGAGAGGGUGACCGGCCCAAUGGGGAUGAGGAACGGGCCCAGACCCCGAGGGGGGGAGGAGGGGGGGAAUAUGGAACAAGGGGGGGAAGCCUGAGGCAGAAACGCCGGGGGGGGGAGGACGGCCUUGGGGUUGUAAACCGCUUUCGCCGGGGACGAAGGGGGAGUGACGGUAAUGGGAAAAGAAGCACCGGCUAACUACGU
rnacentral:rRNA from 1 species